GAAACGCGAUAGGUAAUGUGAAUUGCAGAAUUCCGUGAAUCAUCGAAUCUUUGAACGCACAUUGCGCCUUCCGGUAUUCCGGUAGGCAUGCCUGUUUGAGCGUCAGCAAAACACCCUCAGCCUGAGUAUUUUUUACGGUAUUCAAUGCUGGUUUUGGGGCAGCGGAUGCCGGUGGUUAAUUUCUUCCACCUGCGCCCUCCCUAAACUUGCUGCACGACCGCAAGCCCCUUCUAGCCAGGUCAAUGGAGUGGUGUUACAAUCUUCCAAAAAGCCUGCUGGUAAACUGCUUCGCGGCGUUAAACCCAGAUGUCUCCUCCGUGAGACUGAAGUUUUGACCUCAGAUCAGACAAGGAUACCCGCUGAACUUAA
rnacentral:misc_RNA from 1 species